rnacentral:rRNA from 1 species
UGCCAGCCGCCGCGGUAAUACGGAGGGUGCAAGCGUUGUUCGGAAUUAUUGGGCGUAAAGCGCGUGUAGGCGGUUCGUUAAGUCUGAUGUGAAAGCCCGGGGCUCAACCCCGGAAGUGCAUUGGAAACUGGCGAACUUGAGUACGGGAGAGGAAAGUGGAAUUCCGAGUGUAGGGGUGAAAUCCGUAGAGAUCUGAAGGAAUACCAGUGGCGAAGGCGGCCCCCUGGACAGAUACUGACACUCAGAUGCGAAAGCGUGGGGAGCAAACAGGAUUAGAUA